CCUACGGGUGGCUGCAGUGGGGAAUAUUGCACAAUGGGCGCAAGCCUGAUGCAGCCAUGCCGCGUGUGUGAAGAAGGCCUUCGGGUUGUAAAGCACUUUCAGCGGGGAGGAAGGCGGUGAGGUUAAUAACCUCAUCGAUUGACGUUACCCGCAGAAGAAGCACCGGCUAACUCCGUGCCGGCAGCCGCGGUAAUACGGAGGGUGCAAGCGUUAAUCGGAAUUACUGGGCGUAAAGCGCACGCAGGCGGUCUGUCAAGUCGGAUGUGAAAUCCCCGGGCUCAACCUGGGAACUGCAUUCGAAACUGGCAGGCUAGAGUGUGGUAGAGGGGGGUAGAAUUCCAUGUGUAGCGGUGAAAUGCGUAGAGAUCUGGAGGGAUACCGGUGGCGAAGGCGGCCCCCUGGACAAAGACUGACGCUCAGGUGCGAAAGCGUGGGGAUCAAACAGGAUUAGAUACCCUGGUAGUC
rnacentral:rRNA from 1 species